UACGGGGGGAGCAAGCGUUGUUCGGAAUUACUGGGCGUAAAGGGCGCGUAGGCGGCCUCUUAAGUCGAACGUGAAAUCCUCGGGCUCAACCCAGGAAGUGCAUUCGAAACUGCAGAGCUGGAGUCCUGGAGAGGAAGGCGGAAUUCUCGGUGUAGAGGUGAAAUGCGUAGAUAUACGGAGGAACACCUGCGGCGAAGGCGGGUAGCUGGGCCAACACUGACGCUGAGACGCGAAAGCUAGGGGAGCAAACGGG
rnacentral:rRNA from 1 species